GAGUUUGAUCAUGGCUCAGGAUGAACGCUAGCGGGAGGCUUAAUACAUGCAAGUCGAGCGGGAUCCGCCUUUCGGGGCGGUGAGACCGGCGCACGGGUGAGUAACGCGUACACAACCUACCUUUAAGUGGGGGAUAGCCUUGGGAAACUGAGAAUAAUACCCCAUGUGAUUAACUUGCUGCAUGGCAUUGGGAUUAAAGUUGAGGCGUUGUAAGAUGGGUGUGCGUACUAUUAGCUAGUUGGUAAGGUAACGGCUUACCAAGGCGACGAUAGAUAGGGGGCGUGAGAGCGUGACCCCCCACACGGGUACUGAGACACGGACCCGACUCCUACGGGAGGCAGCAGUAAGGAAUAUUGGACAAUGGGGGCAACCCUGAUCCAGCCAUCCCGCGUGCAGGAUGACGGCCCUCUGGGUUGUAAACUGCUUUUAUUAGGGAAGAAACCCCGGAUUUUCAUCCGGGCUGACGGUAACUUAUGAAUAAGCACCGGCUAAUUCCGUGCCAGCAGCCGCGGUAAUACGGAAGGUGCAAGCGUUAUCCGGAAUCACUGGGUUUAAAGGGUGCGUAGGCGGCAAAUUAAGUCAGGGGUGAAAGCUUCCCGCUCAACGGGAGAAUUGCCUUUGAUACUGGCAGGCUAGAAUCAGAUUGAGGCGGGCGGAACGUGGCAUGUAGCGGUGAAAUGCAUAGAUAUGACUUAGAACACCGAUUGCGAAGGCAGCUUGCCAAGUCUGGAUUGACGCUGAGGCACGAAAGCGUGGGGAUCAAACAGGAUUAGAUACCCUGGUAGUCCACGCCCUAAACGAUGUUUACUCGACGUUCUGUUUUCGGAUGGAGCGUCCAAGCGAAAGCGUUAAGUAAACCACCUGGGGAGUACGCCGGCAACGGUGAAACUCAAAGGAAUUGACGGGGGUCCGCACAAGCGGCGGAGCAUGUGGUUUAAUUCGAUCAUACGCGAGGAACCUUACCUAGGCUCUAAUGUUAGCGCAAUCUGCUGAAAGGCGGAGUUCCUUUCGGACGCGAAACAAGGUGCUGCAUGGCUGUCGUCAGCUCGUGCCGUGAGGUGUUGGGUUAAGUCCCGCAACGAGCGCAACCCCUAUCUCUAGUUGCCAGCAAGUAAAGUUGGGGACUCUAGAGAGACUGCCGGCGUAAGCCGCGAGGAAGGUGGGGAUGACGUCAAAUCAUCAUGGCCUUUAUGCCCAGGGCGACACACGUGCUACAAUGGCGAGUACAACGGGUAGCUAAACCGCGAGGUGGCGCCAAUCCAAGAAAGCUCGUCUCAGUUCGGAUUGAAGUCUGCAACUCGACUUCAUGAAGUUGGAAUCGCUAGUAAUCGCGCAUCAGCCAUGGCGCGGUGAAUACGUUCCCGGACCUUGUACACACCGCCCGUCAAGCCAUGGAAGCCGGGAGUACCUGAAGAUGGUGACUUAACGGGGAGCUAUCUAAGGUAAAACCAGUAACUAGGGCUAAGUCGUAACAAGGUAACCGUA
rnacentral:rRNA from 1 species